rnacentral:rRNA from 1 species
UACGGAGGGUGCGAGCGUUGUCCGGAAUCACUGGGCGUAAAGGGCGCGUAGGCGGCCUGAUAAGUAGGGGGUGAAAUCCUGCGGCUUAACCGCAGGGCUGCCUUCUAGACUGUCAGGCUGGAGCACAGUAGAGGCAGGUGGAAUUCCCGGUGUAGCGGUGGAAUGCGUAGAGAUCGGGAAGAACAUCAGUGGCGAAGGCGGCCUGCUGGGCUGUUGCUGACGCUGAGGCGCGACAGCGUGGGGAGCAAACAGG